GAGACACCCCUAUGGAGCAGCCUUGCUUCAGUGGAGCUUUGGUGCUCACUGAGUCUGCCCCUUGAGUGUGUCACC
rnacentral:pre_miRNA from 1 species